ACUACAGCUGGCUCCACACCAGUGACAACUUCACCAAAAGAAAUGACUACCCCGACAGUUAUUACUGAAACCACCACAACAGAAGUGACCUUUUCACCAAAAGGAACACCCACCACAACAGUUAUUGCUGAAACCACCACAAAGGGACUCACAGCAACACCAAAACCAACUACAACUAUGUCCACAACCCAAUCCACAUCAG